rnacentral:misc_RNA from 1 species
UGGUUCUGGCAUCGAUGAAGAACGCAGCGAAAUGCGAUAAGUAGUGUGAAUUGCAGAAUUUAGUGAAUCAUCGAAUCUUUGAACGCACAUUGCGCCCUUUGGUAUUCCUUAGGGCAUGCCUGUUCGAGCGUCAUUAACCGUAAUCAAGCCACGCUUGCUGUUGGGUGUUUAGUCCUGCGACGUGCCACGGCGUCGAGUUACGGACUCACCUCAAUCACAUUGGCGGUCCGUGUGUAGGCACCUGGCGCAGCACAUGUGCGCCUUCUGCUGGGCACGCCGGCGUCCAGAAGCUUCUUGGUCGACCUCGGAUCAGGUAGGGAUACCCGCUGA